rnacentral:rRNA from 1 species
AUGAACGCUGCGGCAGGCUAACACAUGCAAGUCGAGCGCGAAAGCACUUCGGUGUGAGUAGAGCGGCGGACGGGUGAGUAACGCGUAGGAAUCUACCUAGUAGUGGGGGACAACUCGGGGAAACUCGAGCUAAUACCGCAUAAGCCCUACGGGGGAAAGCGGGGGACCUUCGGGCCUCGUGCUAUUAGAUGAGCCUGCGUUGGAUUAGCUAGUUGGUGGGGUAAAGGCCUACCAAGGCGACGAUCCAUAGCUGGUCUGAGAGGAUGAUCAGCCACACCGGGACUGAGACACGGCCCGGACUCCUACGGGAGGCAGCAGUGGGGAAUAUUGCGCAAUGGGCGAAAGCCUGACGCAGCCAUGCCGCGUGUGUGAAGAAGGCCUUCGGGUUGUAAAGCACUUUCAAUUGGGAGGAAAGGUUCACGGUUAAUAACCGUGAGCUGUGACGUUACCUUUAGAAGAAGCACCGGCUAACUCCGUGCCAGCAGCCGCGGUAAUACGGAGGGUGCGAGCGUUAAUCGGAAUUACUGGGCGUAAAGCGCGCGUAGGUGGUCUGUUAAGUCGGAUGUGAAAGCCCCGGGCUCAACCUGGGAACUGCAUUCGAUACUGGCAGACUAGAGUGCGAGAGAGGGAGGUAGAAUUCCAUGUGUAGCGGUGAAAUGCGUAGAUAUGUGGAGGAAUACCAGUGGCGAAGGCGGCCUCCUGGCUCGACACUGACACUGA